rnacentral:lncRNA from 1 species
UUUUUUUUUUUUUUUUUUGCUUUUAGGGGCUGCACCGGCGGCAUAUGGAGGUUCCCAGGCUAGGGGCCCAAUUGGAACUAGAGCUACUGGCCUAUGCCACAGCCAAAGCAAUGCAGGAUCCAAGCUGCAUCUGCAACCUACACCACAGCUCACAGCAAGGCCAGAUCCUUAAACCACUGAGUGAUGCCAGGGAUCGAACCCACAACCUCAUGGCUCCUAGUUGGAUUCGUUUCCGCUGCACCACAAUGGGAACUUCCCCUUACAAUUCAUUCCUGUAACUACAUACCAACCAGAGAGACAUAAAAUGAGAAAGACAGAUAAUGUAAGUGUUGUCAAGGAUGUGAAGCAACAGGAUUUCUCUCAAACACAGCUGAUGAGAGCGUCAUCUGGUAUGCCUCUGAAAACUGUCAGUAACUACUGCACCUGAACCCUAUGACUCAAGCAUGUGGUUGAAGAAUACUCACUCACUGCUCCUCCUCAGCAGUUCUGCCUACAGUCCUCUGCUCCCUCAUUGCCUCUGUCUAAAUGCUUCCAUCAUUCUUUCUCCCAAUCCCAAGGCUGGUCCAGACCACUCUUUCUGAUCACUUCAGCACAAAGAAAUCGCCCCUUCUAUAGAAAACUGCUAUUUACCUAUUACCUCUGUCAAAUGACUCAUGAUUUUUUCACAUUUAAACUGCAUCAUUUGGUUUUAUAAUGCACUUUUAAUAACAUUAUCUAACCUGUUCCUCACAAUAACAAUGUGAAGAAGCCAAGACAUAGAUUAACCCCAUUUUAUAGAUGAGAAAAUGGAGCUUCAUAGAGAGAAAAAUGACUUACCCCAGUUUACCUAGCCAAAUUAGUUCCAGGGUAUAAGAGUAAGACCUUAGUCUUCCAAACCAAGCUCUCUAACCAAACUGCCUUUUUAUCAUCUACAUCUUCAUGAUUACCUAUUUCCCCAAAGAGACCAAAGGUUCCCUGAAGAUAAGAGUAUGCUUUACAUAUAUAUUUACCUCCCUCACAGAACCAAGGAAGGCACUCAGUGGGCUCCACAGUUUGGCUGAUUGAUUUCAGUAUUGGCCCUAACGUUUGUGGACGUACACAGGCAUAUUUCCUCUUCUUUUAGAUCUCUUAAGUAAUGCUAAACUGGAAGAAAUCAUGAACAUAACACAGCAUCCCAAAUAACACUGUUUUUGAGGUAGGGACAAGGGAAGAGCAAGAGCCCUUCGAGACAGGGUAAACUCAACCUUCCCUCCAUUUCUAGGGCUCCAUGCUACAAAGUGUCCAAAAAAGCCUGACAGAGACACUAGCAUGGGCUUUAAGAACCACAGCAUAGUCACAAUUAAUAAGUCACAAAUUGAUCAAAUGCCAGAAACCACACCUCAAGUAAUUCCACUUGCAAACAAUAUAGAGCUAUUUUAUUUCAAAACUGAGUAUAGGAGUUCCCGUCAUGGCGCAGUGGUUAACGAAUCCGACUAGGAACCAUGAGGUUGCGGGUUCAGUCCCUGCCCUUGCUCAGUGGGUUAACGAUCUGGCGUUGCCGUGAGCUGUGGUGUAGGUUGCAGACGCGGCUCGGAUCCCACGUUGCUGUGGCUCUGGCGUGGGCCGGUGGCUACAGCUCCGAUUCAACCCCUAGCCUGGGAACCUCCAUAUGCCGCGGGAGCGGCCCAAGAAAUAGCAACAACAAGACAAAAGACAAAAGACAAAAAAAAAAAAAAAAAACAAAAAACUGAGUAUAACAAAACUUAAAAUAAUUCAAUAUGAAAUUUAAUUUUAUUAAUUCCUAAAUAAGAAGCUAGACAAUAUCAAAUCUUCCUGAAGCCUGCCAGAGAACUGAGGUGAAGAGAACAGGGAAAGCAUUAGGCAGAUGUCCGGACACCCAAACCUAAAGGACAAUGCUGUCCCUACCCUCAAGUUCUUGACUUUACACACUGGGUGCUGGACACCUCAGCAACAGAGGAUAAAAUCUGGAUAACAGGCAGAAGAAAGGAAGAGACAAAGGAAAGGCCAAAAAUAAACUGAAACAUAAGUCAGAUAUUCAAAUAAGUCUUCCUGCCAAGUCUCCAUCAAUUCUGCUAUUUCCACUCUGAACUCUUAACUCAAAUAUCCAGGCCAGGGCAACAGGGGUAAGAAUAAACCUAUUGUACUUAUCUGUCUCCCUCUUAAGACUGAACGUAAUUUGAGGGUAGGAAUCACGUCUCUCUAUUGGUUUUUAUGUUCUCCGUAGGGAGAACACACAGUAGGUACUCCAAAUUCCUGGAACAAACGGUUGAACUUAGGGAUGGAAGGCAGUUGGACUUCCAAGCAUAAUCUUGCUACAGCACCUAGGUAACCUACUUAGCUUGGUAACUCUACCUAAGACUUUAAUUUUAGUAAGAGUUAAUUUUAAUUGGUGUGAAAAUCAAUUUAGAGUGAGUCUUUAAGGUACGAAGAAAAGUUAUUCUUGUGUUCAACUGAUUUGGGCACAGCUAUCAUUAUUAUACUGAGAGCACUAUUCCUCAGUACCCACUUACACCUGAGAAGAACAAAAUCUUAAAAUGGUUUGUGUAAGCAGGGAACAACCUUUGACUUCUCAAUGUAUCAAGAUCUUACCUUCCAAAAAGGAAACCCAGACCUAGAGAAAUAAUGAGUUAUGGAAAUGAUUCUUUUAAAUCCACUGCUAAGCUUGCUUUCACUAGCACAAGGAAUUACAAAGGAAACAAGACAAACAGAUCAACAGACACCAUCCAAAUACCACCUUUAACUAGGCUUAGUGAAAUUUUUAAUAAAUAAACAGGAGGAAAUAAACAGGAGAUAGCUAGAAAAAAAUCUGGCCAAUAACACUAAACGUGGCCUUCUAAAUGAGAAUACUUACUUGAAAUAAAGCAAUGAUUCUUACCUUGUCAAAUAAACAUAAAUAUUCAGUUUCUACAGAUGGCAUUUCAAGGGCCAGGUAACCUCAACAGAUUUAUCUACCUCACAAAGCUAAAGCUCUAAGGAAAUGCAAAUUUCUGGUCUGGUGUUUUUCCACUCCUAAUAAUAGUGUUUGGGAAUCCUAUGAUGUUGUUUAUUUUCCUUUUAUUCUAUGAUUCCAGAUGAUGAUUUAGACAGUACACCUUGUGGAGAGAUAUACUGUCUAAAUCAUCAUCUAGAAUUAUAAAAUGUUAUUGCUACAAGGGACACUGGGGGUCAUCUAGUUAUUAUUUUCCACUGCACUUCAAAUGGAUAAACCUGGCCCUUUGAACAAGUAUGGAUUUCUGCCACCUGAGGAAAAGAAUGGAGCGUGGAGCAGGGUCUCCUGACGCAUGCCUCUAAUAAAAAAAACCCUUCCUGGUCCCUCUCUAUCCUGUUCUAUCUACCUCACUUAACCCGCCCCACCCCAUUCUCUCCUCUCCACUACAGUAUCUAAGCUACUAAGACAUGCUGCCCUUUUGAAUACAAGCGCCUUAAGCUAUGUUUCACUCAUCUUUGUUUUCCCAGUGCCUAGGAGGCAGGUACUGAGAGAAGGACACUAGCACAUGGAGAGAGCAACGCCAAAGGAUGUUGUCUGGAGAAAACAUAAGCUUUCCUUGGCAUAACAUAUGCAGUCUUCAGGGCUAUGCAAGGCCUGGAUGUCUAGGAUCUAAUACUUAACUCCUUUCCAAAACUAGUGUCUACAUCAUCCAGGGGAUAGUCACCAAAUAUGCUGAUCCCCCUUCCCCUCCUCCCCUUGAAGAACUAUGAUCAACAACUAGAAAGAGGUAAUUGAAAGCUGAUGUAAGAAGACCCUGAAUGAGAAAUCCUCCCUUCUUGGAGUUCCCGUCAUGGCGCAGCAGAAAGGAAUCCAACUAGGAACCAUGAGGUUGCAGGUUCGAUCCCUGGCCUCACUCAGUGGGUUAAGGAUCUGGCAUUGCUGUGAGCUGUGGUGUAGGUCACAGACACAGCUCAGAUCCAGCGUUGCUGUUGCUGUGGCUGGGCGCAGGCAGGUAGCUGUAGCUCCGAUUUGAUCCCUAGCCUGGGAACUUCCAUAUGCCGUGGAUGUGGCCCUAAAAAGCAAAAUAAGGAGUUCCCGUUGUGGUGCAGUGGUUAACGAAUCCGACUAGGAACCAUGAGGUUGUGGGUUCGGUCCCUGCCCUUGCUCAGUGGGUUAACGAUCCGGCAUUGCCAUGAGCUGUGGUGUAGGCUGCAGACGUGGCUCGGAUCCUGCGUUGCUGUGGCUCUGGUGUAGGCCGGGGGCUACAGCUCCAAUUCGACCCCUGGCCUGGGAACCUCCAUAUGCCGCAGGAGUGGCCCAAAGAAAUAGCAAAAAGACAGGAAAAAAAAAAAAAAAGCAAAGUAAAUAAAUAAAUAAAAAUUAAUUAAUUAAAAAUCAUUGCAAUUCUCACUUAAGAUAAAAAAAAAAAAAAAAAACGAAAAAAAAUUUAAAAAGAAUUCCUCCCUUCUCACUCAUGUACUCCUUCUCCUGUAUCCUCACCUCAAUGAGCAGCAGCCCGAUCUAUACAACUACACCAGGUAGAAAUCUAGAAGAGUUGCUUGAUUUUUUCCUUACCCUCCACUCCAACAAUCUUUGUGAUUCAUAACUCAAUUCCAUCUUCUUUUCUCUACACACACACCCUUCAUUUGAAACACUAUCAUCUCUUGCCUACAUUACUGCAAAAGCCUCCUAACUGGUCUCUGCCCAUGGUGCUCUAGCCCACAAAUCCAUUCCCCAAAUGACCAGAGAUAUCCUUUUAAAUACAUAUAGGAUCAUGGCCCCCUCACCAAAAUGAAGUCCAAACUCUUCAAUCUGGGCAAUAAGGCCCUUUCAUGGACUGGGCCUCUGCUCUGCCUACCUGCCAAUCUCAUCUCUUGCCACUCCACCUAUCUCAUGCUUUAUGCUCCACCCAGAAGUUUUGAGAAACUCAUUUAACCCCUCUGGGUUUGUUGCCUCACUUACAAAACGGGAAUAAUAAUAGUAUAUACCUCUCAGGGUAGUUAUGGAAAAAAAACGA